rnacentral:tRNA from 1 species
UAGCUUAGUGGUAGAGCGUUUGUCUAGCAAGCACGAGGCCUUAGGUUCAAUUCCUAG